GACGAACGCUGGCGGCGUGCCUAACACAUGCAAGUCGAACGGAGAUGCCGAGGUAGCUUGCUACAUUGGUAUCUUAGUGGCGGACGGGUGAGUAACACGUGGGCAACCUGCCCCAAAGAGGGGGAUAACACCGAGAAAUCGGUGCUAAUACCGCAUAAUAUUAGAGCUUCGCAUGGAGCUUUAAUCAAAGGAGCAAUCCGCUUUGGGAUGGGCCCGCGUCUGAUUAGCUAGUUGGUGAGGUAAUGGCUCACCAAGGCGACGAUCAGUAGCCGAUCUGAGAGGAUGACCGGCCACACUGGAACUGAGACACGGUCCAGACUCCUACGGGAGGCAGCAGUGGGGAAUAUUGCACAAUGGGGGAAACCCUGAUGCAGCAACGCCGCGUGGAGGAAGAAGGUCUUCGGAUUGUAAACUCCUGUCUUCUGGGACGAAGUAUGACGGUACCAGAGGAGGAAGCCACGGCUAACUACGUGCCAGCAGCCGCGGU
rnacentral:rRNA from 1 species